rnacentral:lncRNA from 1 species
UCAACUCUUAACUUUUAAAUUUGUGCUUAGGGUAGUCCCUUCAUCUCCUCCCACUUCUUAAAUUUCAAAAUUUAUCCUUCUUUUCAAAAACUUUCUUUGCUUGUAACUUAAAACUUAGACAUGUUUUAAUGAUUAGAAACUUUGGCCUUAUGCCAAUGAAUUUUUAUAUAUUUUCUUAAUCAAACUUGUAAAUAAACUUAACCAUAUUGACUUAAAUUUAAAAAGAAA